rnacentral:tRNA from 1 species
UCCCUCGAGCCGGAUUUGAACCAGCGACCUAAGGAUCACCGUUGUAACAUCUACAGUCCUCCACUCUGCCAACUGAGCUAUCGAGGG